rnacentral:rRNA from 1 species
UACGAAGGGGGCUAGCGUUGUUCGGAUUUACUGGGCGUAAAGCGCACGUAGGCGGAUCGUUAAGUCGGGGGGUGAAAUCCUGGAGCUCAACUCCAGAACUGCCUUCGAUACUGGCGAUCUCGAGUCCGGAAGAGGUGAGUGGAACUCCUAGUGUAGAGGUGGAAUUCGUAGAUAUUAGGAAGAACACCAGUGGCGAAAGGCGGCUCACUGGUCCGGUACUGACGCUGAGGUGCGAAAGCGUGGGGGAGCAAACAGG